rnacentral:rRNA from 1 species
GUCAAGUCAUCAUGCCCCUUAUGUCCAGGGCUGCACACAUGCUACAAUGGCCGGUACAAAGAGCUGCGAUACCGCAAGGUGGAGCGAAUCUCAUAAAGCCGGUCUCAGUUCGGAUUGGGGUCUGCAACUCGACCCCAUGAAGUCGGAGUCGCUAGUAAUCGCAGAUCAGCAACGCUGCGGUGAAUACGUUCCCGGGCCCU